rnacentral:rRNA from 1 species
GACGUAGGGCGCGAGCGUUGUCCGGAUUUAUUGGGCGUAAAGAGCUCGUAGGCGGUUUGUCGAGUCUGCUGUGAAAUCCCGAGGCUCAACCUCGGGCCUGCAGUGGGUACGGGCAGACUGGAGUGCGGUAGGGGAGACUGGAAUUCCUGGUGUAGCGGUGGAAUGCGCAGAUAUCAGGAGGAACACCGAUGGCGAAGGCAGGUCUCUGGGCCACUACUGACGCUGAGAAGCGAAAGCAUGGGGAGCGAACAGG